UACAGAGGGUGCAAGCGUUAAUCGGAGUUACUGGGCGUAAAGGGCGCGUAGGCGGUCAUGUAAGUGAGAUGUGAAAUCCCUGGGCUUAACCUAGGAACUGCAUCUUAUACUGUAUGACUGGAGUACUGUAGAGGGUAGUGGAAUUUCCGGUGUAGCGGUGAAAUGCGUAGAGAUCGGAAGGAACACCAGUGGCGAAGGCGGCUACCUGGACAGAUACUGACGCUGAGGCGCGAGAGCGUGGGGAGCAAACAGG
rnacentral:rRNA from 1 species